AGUGAACGCUGGCGGCAGGCCUAAUACAUGCAAGUCGAACGGCAGCACAGCAGAGCUUGCUCUGUGGGUGGCGAGUGGCGGACGGGUGAGGAAUACAUGGGAAUCUGCCCAGUCGUGGGGGAUAACGUAUGGAAACGUACGCUAAUACCGCAUGCGCCCUACGGGGGAAAGCCGGGGACCGCAAGGCCUGGCGCGAUUGGAUGAGCCCAUGUUCGAUUAGCUAGUUGGCGGGGUAAAGGCCCACCAAGGCGACGAUCGAUAGCUGGUCUGAGAGGAUGAUCAGCCACACUGGAACUGAGACACGGUCCAGACUCCUACGGGAGGCAGCAGUAGGGAAUAUUGGACAAUGGGGGCGAACCCUGAUCCAGCCAUGCCGCGUGAGUGAAGAAGGCCCUCGGGUUGUAAAGCUCUUUUGUCCGGAAAGAAAGCAAUCGGUUAAUACCCGGUUGUUCUGACGGUACCGGAAGAAUAAGCACCGGCUAACUUCGUGCCAGC
rnacentral:rRNA from 1 species